AUUUAAAUACAAUUUUAGGACAUAGAUAUUUUUUUUUGUUUCUUCUUAUGCUUACUAAUUUCUCGGAAGUGUAUUAGAAGCGUAUCUCGAACACGUACUGUACGUCAAAUUAUUGAGAAUUUGGUGCGUGUUUUGAUCGAUUUCCUAAAGUUUAUUGUUUACUGCUCUACGAAAACCAUAAAUGUACCCUACAGAAAGUGAAAGUAUUGCAAAAAAAAACAAUAGAACAUAAGAAAUCAACCAUUUCUUCUACGGUUCAAUAGCUGGUGCUUCUGCGUCAACAAACAGUGUGUAUUCGCGAAGAAGAAUAUAAAUACCGAGUAUGUGCGCGCAUGUAAGAGCAGACCUACGAAAGAAAGCUUGACUGAAGCUUCGCUGUGAGUGCUGAACAAGUGGCGUCUAAUAUCGAAAGGUUUAAUUGCUGUUAAGUGCCAGAGACUGUGUAUUUGGUUGCGAAACACUACGAGUGAGCCAUCGUAAAACAUCACUCAUUGUGCAGAAUUCUGUAGCAAACGUAUCAAAAUCGUGAAAAAUGAAAUCUAUUUCGGCAAAUUGUGCUACGGGUGCCUCCGUCCCCGCGAUUGCAAGUGGUCGUGUACGUCAACGCUAUCGGGAGUGCGAAAAUGAUCCAGAAAUACAAGUGUAUCUAACAAAACUGAAGGAUUUGGUACCUUUUAUGGCGAAGGAUCGCAAAAUGUCGAAGCUUGAAGUGAUCCGGAACGCUAUUGAUUACAUAUGCGAGCUUCAAAAUACGCUGGCCGAUGCAGACGUACAACAACAAGCGGGCAAGAUGCAAGAGUCAUUGAUUUGAAGAAGAACAUAAAACCAACUUUGAAUAGGAAUGAAGCUGCCGGAGUGUACCAGUACACGAUCGCAGUCUGAAUUGCUCCUUAAUUGUGCAAUAGAGAAACAUAUAUGGAAGGAUUAAUAGAUCUCAACAUGAAGUCGAAUUGGCCAACAUGCCUACUUCAAGAAGGCAGACGGGGAGGAGUAGCAGAGUUUCGAAUAUUGCGUUUGAUAGAUGUUUGAUUUAACGGAACAAUUUAUGUACAAAGGAAUCUGUACGAUGCAAGGAAUGUGAUUGGAUCCAAUUAAUAUUGAAGCAGCUGAAGCAGGAUGAAAUUAUCAAUGCAGCAACACAUUUGUUUUAAUCAUCUGCAUACAUCUGUGAUGUGAUCAGUAGGAAUAUGUAUUGUCCAUUUCUUGUAUUUAUUACGAAAAUAGUUUAAACAAAAACACCGAUAAUAGUAGAAAACAACCAUAUAUAUGCUAUGGGAUGCGUAUUCAGGAAAAAUAAAUUAAUACAUUUAUAUUUUGCGCAUAAUAUGUUGAUAAUACUACUACUUAGUACCAUGAUAGUGAUUCCUGGCUAGAGAAUACUUCUGUGAGAGGAAAGUUAAUGCACCAGAUGUUACUCAGAUCAUUGCAGCUAUCUCUUAUCUAAUGUUUUAUCAUACGUCUUUCCCGUGUGCUAUUUUUAUCAUACAUAAACUAUAAAGUGGAAUAUUAAAAGACAGGUAAAGAAACUAAGCGAAACCCUAGGAAAAGUAAGGAGUGCGAGCGUCAAAAAGUGGAAAUUUAUUAAGUAAAAACAGUUUUUAAUUAAUGAAAUAUAACCAUUUAAGAAACAACUUCCUCAUUGAUUUGUAACUCAUUUCUUCCUUUAUGUUUACAUAUUACACUGCUUUACAACUGGAACGAAAUAAGAUCCAAUUUGUGAGACGAACACUCUUUUCGUACAUGGAUGGUUGUAAAGUACAAAAAAUAAUUCUCGAGUAAUAGAAAUUGAGUUACAUUAUUCCGAUAAAACUCAAAUAAAAAGCGAUGAUUUCAUAAUUGAUCGUCGUAAAGUUGUUUAUACUACAAAAAUACCUUAAUUAAAAAGAUAUUAAAAAAACAUUUAAAGUUUUGAAUAAUUUGUUUUGAAAUAAUAAUCAAAGAAUUAGACAAAAUUUAAGUAUCGUGUAAUAUUUAUAUUGUGCAGAUAUGAAACAAGUAUUCCUGCACUGUACUCAUCUUUCAGGGAGAUAUGCUUUAAGGCUGUAUGACGUAUUCCAGAUGUACGGGAGUGCACUUGCUCGGUUUAAAUGUAAUUAUCAUUAUUAUUUGUUUUUUUGCCCCGAUUUGCGACCGACAAAAUGUGUCGAUAAAAGCCACGCUCUAUCACGGAACAGAAAAAAAAACUCCAAUCAAUUAAUCACCGCCUAGGAGCUAUAAAUUUUCUUUCGCGUAGUACGGAAUGUAGCACCGGGUCGACCAGGUGUGUGAUACAACGCAUGCUUUUUUCUGCCAUCACGGAGGUCGAUUUAGGAUAACAAUGAAAUUGGUACGCGUGCACUUGAGGGUGACAUAGGAAGCGCUAUGGUGACAUGUGUGGUUGCUUAUCAGACAUUAUCGAUGUUCGGUUCAGUGCAAGAGUACCGGUCCAACAUUACCAACAAUCCGUCCAAUUAAUACCAGUAAGCCCUCACUUGAAUCUUGAUUGUGGAAUUGUCAUGGACUCAUCGGCACGUACUAAAGAAUGAAGGGGCGAUAACGGGCGACACCCUGCUUGAUGACCUAGGCUGUGGGGACACCUGGAUGCACCUGGUAUAGCGAAAAAUUGUCCCCGAUAGAUAGUGACGCGCACUGGUGAUGCUUAUCGGGACUCAUUUCAUGCGUUUGCUAGAGUUCUUAUUAUUUAGGAUUUUUCAAAUACUUUAAAGUGCGAAAAGUAACGCGUAUUUACAAUUUUUAAAGAUAUUUUAUGUGUUUAACCUGUUUCAAUGUUUAUAAGGCCCUACAUUUCGUUUAAGUUUAAGUAUAUAUCUCGUUCCAUAGGGUCGUACAGUAAAGUAGUAGAAAAUCUCCACAAACGAUAGCAGACUGGCCCCGACAAACAAUCCUGUAGUACCACCAACAGAUACUAGAGAUUACGAAACAGAGAUAGAUGAAAUGAUAGCACCGUCAAACAAACCCUGCAAAUGUUAUCAACUGCAUUACACUUACCCACUAAAUCGAGCCUUCCGCGUACUACAUUUCUUUUGUAGCGUUCCGUUGGUAGUGCGGAAAGCUGAAUUUCAAUUGUCGAGUAGCGACGAUCGGAAUCAAAUAUGCUUUCGCGUGAAUCAUGCACAAUUCCUAUGUCCACCUCUGUACAUGAGGGCAAACAAUCACACACAACUCCUCUUCGUCCAACCGACCAUUUAGGGAUAACGAUCGUAAGAUCUUCAUAAUGCUCAUUGAGACAAAUUAGUCCAGACAUAUUGCAUUUCAAGUGAGGUUCUGUGUGUAAGAGAGAGAGCGAGCAUUAUUCUCCAAUACUAAGAAAUGAAAAGUGUUAUAAUGUUACCUGUAUUGGGCAUUAGAUGACUUGUGCAGUUGCAUAUUUUGAUUUGCUUGUCCUUUCGGCAUUGCACAGAGCACGCACUGUAGCUGUAAAACCGGUGAACGUUGAGAUUGUUUUCGUCCGGAAAGCGACACUUGCGCUGGGACACGCUCACUUGCUUCGCUUCCGGGUCAUUCUCAAUAUCCUUGAUAGAGAUGUGCCUCUUGUAAGCGAUGUAAUGAUCGACGAGCAGAACGUCCGAUUUGGGAGUAAUCAAAUUGGGCACCUCUUCCUCACCAAUCGUAUAGACGUAAGCUUCGGUAAGUACGGUGAUAGUUAGCUUGCCCGGCCCGGUAUGCUUGUUCGAAAUCAUGUUCAGUUUGAUCGGAACUUUUGCACUUGUUUGUAAUGAAUUGACCGCAUAGCACAGUCCCAGUUCGGUUUCCAUCGGUUGAAAGUAUCGACAGCAGUCGAACGGUUUAUCAUUCCAGUAACAAUCCUCCAGCGUCUCCAUGCAUGUACUGCGCACUAGUUCAGCGUAUGCCGUAAAGUUGUCGAAAAAACAGUUUUCGGCCAUAUCUUCUCCCGCACACUCAUUCACUGUGUGAUACGAUUCGCCACGGAAGUAUCCAAUCUCGUUUAAAACUUCUUCCAUCGCAAAGUCAUGAUCUUCGCCCCACAGCCUACCGAGAAAGUUGGAGCAAAAAAUCGGCUACAAAUUAUGAUGAUAAAUCUCCCCUCCAUACGCUUACCUAUCAGCGAUGGCUUGGAUUCGUUCCAUGUUUCGCAUCUCACACACGACAAUCGAGGGAAAACGAGUGUUCCAAUCGCGGUAGCUCGUUUCUACCACGAAUGAUAUGGCACUGGUUUGAAAAGCUUCGAGUGAGGCAUCGAUCAGAAAGGCAGAACCAACCCAGGAAAUGAUAACACACACUAUCCAAAAUAUGCUUUAACGAAAAAGUAGUGCAUACGUUAUGCAUCAUUAUAGUGUACGAUCACAUUUAAGACAUGCAGCAGUGAAUCGCAUAUUUGGUGCUACGUGCAGAACUAACUCGAACAUGAACAACCUUAGAACUAACGCAUUUUUCCACUAUUCAUAAAGCUACUACCGAAAGUCAC